rnacentral:lncRNA from 1 species
AGAAAUAGUAAAUGGUGGGUUAACAACGCAAUUACGACGAACCCAACGAAACCAAAUUUCGUCGUAAACGCCAUGUAAUAUUACGACGUAAGUACGUCGAAAAGAAAACUUUACAUCGAUAUUACAACGAAUCAUGUUACCGUUAUAUUUAGGUGAAAAACUUAUCGAAGUUCGUUGUAAAGUCGUUGUAAAAAAACUAUGUAAAAUCCAUGUAAAAGUUUCCUUGUAAAAUCGUUGUUAUAUUUCAACUACCCAACUCAAAAAUUUCUCUAUAUAUAUGUCAUUUCCCACAACUCUCUUCCUCACAACACACAACUCUCUUCCUCACAAGACCCAAACGGAAAAAAAAUUUUUUUUUAAAAAUAGAAGAAAAAAUGGUCGGUGGCGGUAGUAUUUACGAGUUACGAAGUUGGAUGUAUUUGCACAAAGAUUCCGACGGGAGAGUGACGAAUGCAUUUCUGAAUGGGCUAGAGACAUUCA